rnacentral:rRNA from 1 species
ACGGAAGGCAGCAGUGGGGAAUAUUGCACAAUGGGCGCAAGCCUGAUGCAGCAACGCCGCGUGAGGGAUGACGGUCUUCGGAUUGUAAACCUUUGUCCUUGGUGACGAAAAAAAUGACGGUAGCCGAGGAGGAAGCCACGGCUAACUACGUGCCAGCAGCCGCGGUAAUACGUAGGUGGCAAGCGUUGUCCGGAUUUACUGGGUGUAAAGGGAGCGCAGGCGGGACAGCAAGUUGGAUGUGAAAUACCGAGGCUUAACCACGGAGCUGCAUCCAAAACUGUUGUUCUUGAGUGAAGUAGAGGUAGGCGGAAUUCCGAGUGUAGCGGUGAAAUGCGUAGAUAUUCGGAGGAACACCAGUGGCGAAGGCGGCCUACUGGGCUUUAACUGACGCUGAGGCUCGAAAGUGUGGGGAGCAAACAGGAUUAGAUACCCUGGUA